rnacentral:misc_RNA from 1 species
GUGACUGGAAAACCGGCAUGGAAUUGCAAGCCGGAAACAAACAUAGCAGCCUUGAUGAUUCGUAUUGGAGUAGGAGAUGAAUUGCCAGAAAUCCCUCAAGAAUUGUCCAAAGAAGGGAAGGAUUUUCUAUCCAAAUGCUUUGUUAAGGAUCCUAGAACGAGAUGGACGGCUGAUAUGUUAUUGGAUCAUCCUUUUGUUGCUACUGAAAACACUGUUACAUUGAAGGAGAGUAAGCAAUCAUCUCCAUCAUCAUCACCAAGAUGUCCAUUCGAGUACCCAGAGUGGGUUUCAGUUCCAUCUUCAUCACCAAAGACUGAAUUAUGGUCUAACAAGGAAGUGAAUUCAAGAUUUGAUUGGUCCUCUUUGUCAUAUUCACCUUCACCGGCGGAGAGACUCCGGCAGCUGGCUAGUGAUGAGGUUUGCAACUGGUCUUUUUCUGAGAGUUGGGUCACUGUCAGGUGAGAGAAGGCAGAGCACAGAAUUGAAUUCAACGCCAGCAGACUUGGAAGAUUUUUUAAUUCCAUUUUUUAUUACAAUCUAACUGUUGAGAUUCCAUUAAUCUUUUUAGUAAUUGGUGACAAGUUUUGGCGAUUGUAAAUGUGUAGGAAAUAGACUGAGGAAUUGUAUUUAGCAGACUGAGUUUUACUUGAUUCAACAGUCCUGAUGGGUGGCCCUGACUGGCCAAGUGUACAGAACAAUAUUUUUAACCCCUUUUGUUUGAUAUGCAUA